AAAAACACUUUGAAAAGCUAAACGUCAUAAACUGCCCUCAAGAUUCUCUUUUUACGUUGCAUUUAUCUAUUUAACCUGCAAUUUUCUAUAUGCUAAAUCCAGUUCAUUUCAGUAUUGAUGCUUGUACUUUGACAUUUAAAACGGAAACAAGAUGAAGUUGAUGCAUGUAUUCAUUCUGCUUGUGCUAGCUGUUGUGCUCGAUGUUAUCGAAGCACAGAUGAAUCAACGAAGGAUAAGUGGAGGACCAAACGACCCUUGGUAUUGUUGCCGAAAGACCGUGGAUCGUUGCUUAGAAUGGUGUAGAUAAUUAAGGUAUCUGCUGCUGUGAAUGGAAGACGGAACAUAUUACUGGACGCCACUCUAAUAUCAUUGGAUAAAUUUCGAGAAAAUAAAUAAAUCCACAUGUUCUUUGAAUAUUUGAUAUCAAAGUAAUGACAAAAAUGUUUACUGUCAGUAAAAAUGAAUCUAU